rnacentral:rRNA from 1 species
GAUGAACGCUGACAGCAUGCUUAACACAUGCGAGUCAACUUGAAUUUGGGUUUUUAACUUAGGUUUGGGUGGCGGACGGGUGAGUAACGCGUAAAGAACUUGCCUCACAGCUAGGGACAACAUUUGGAAACGAAUGCUAAUACCUAAUAUUAUGAUAAUAGGGCAUCCUAUAAUUAUGAAAGCUAUAAGCGCUGUGAGAGAGCUUUGCGUCCCAUUAGCUAGUUGGAGAGGUAACGGCUCACCAAGGCGAUGAUGGGUAGCCGGCCUGAGAGGGUGAUCGGCCACAAGGGGACUGAGACACGGCCCUUACUCCUACGGGAGGCAGCAGUGGGGAAUAUUGGACAAUGGACCGAGAGUCUGAUCCAGCAAUUCUGUGUGCACGAUGAAGUUUUUCGGAAUGUAAAGUGCUUUCAGUUGGGAAGAAACAAAUGACGGUACCAACAGAAGAAGUGACGGCUAAAUACGUG